rnacentral:pre_miRNA from 1 species
UUAAUUCAAAUUUGUAUGUAGUUAGAAAGUUUGCCUACGUUUGCCUCUAGGGUCGCUGACCUAACUGCAUACAAAAUUGAGUUA